rnacentral:lncRNA from 1 species
CGAUCCUGAGAGGAUGUAGAGUUGUGAAAUGGAAAAGACAUCAGUUAUGGUAAGUGUUUGUAAAACGAUGCGCCUAGAGACUGUCCUUGUGCCUGAAGUGAUUUCUCUCUACUGCUUUGAGAACUAAGUUGUUUGCUGUGUGGGGAAGGGUCCAUGUAGGCACCUCAUACCAGGAGAAGAUGAGCUUCCCAGAGUGGUGACUUCACAUGUCUCUGUAAUUAUGCUCAGCAGGCUCAAUAACCACUGGAAAACAAAGGUGUAGAAAAACUGACUCUUGGUAGGCAUACAGUUCAACUGGUGUGAGCCCAAGUGACUGACAUUCUAGAGAAUGCCUACGGUCUUCCAACGGUCAGUGCAAUGGGCAGUCGGCACGUCUUACGAGGAAAUGAAGCGUGUUGGAUAAGCAGACCAAACAGCUGUGAGAACGCUGCCACUGUGAGAGCUUUAAGUGGCCUCAAUUCCUCUUUUUUGAAGUACACUUUAUGUUUUACAAUAAUUUGAGAUGUACAGAAAAGCUGCAAGGAUACCACAGAGUGUCCCUCAGUGUCCCCCACUGUUAACAUCACAUUAUAAUAGUAUGUUUGCCACAACUAGGAAACCAACAUUGGUUCGUGAAAAUUACCUAAAACUCUAUUAGGAUUUUACUCAUCUUUCCACUGACGUUCUUUUGCUGUGCCAGGAUCCCAUCCAAGUGAACACACUAGAGUCAGUCACCAUGCCUCCUGAGCCUCUUCUGGUCUGCGGCAGUUUCUCAAACUUCCCUUGUUUUUCAUAACCUUCACAGUUUUGAGGAAUACUAGCCGUGUAUCCUAAAGAAUGUCCCCAAUCAACAUUCAUCUGUUUUACUCAUGAUUAGACUGGGCUAUGGGUUUUAGGGAAGAAUACCGAAGAGGUGAAGUGGCCUUCUCAUCACAUCGUGUCAACAAUCACAUCAUCAACAGGACUUUCCACUGAGGAUGUGAACAAUUACUGGCCAUGGCAGCAUCCAACAGGCUUCUCCACUGUAAAGUCGCUUCGUUUUCCCCUUCCCAUACUCUACUUUUUGGAAGCAAGUCAUUAUGUGUAGCCCACAUUCAAGAAGGCGUUGGAGGCGGAAUCGUCUUCACCAGGGAAUAUCUACAUUAAACAUUUGAAAUUCUUCUGUAAAGAAGCAUUGUCUUCUGUCUCCCAUCUCCCAUUUAUUUAUUUAUUCAUUCAGUUGUUUAUAUCAGUAUAGACUCAUGGAUAACUAUGUACUGAGUUAUAAUCCAACAGUACCUGAGUUAGUUCCAGUUUUGGCCAUUGGGAGCUCUUUCAGGUUAGCUCCUGGGUCCCUUUCACAUGUCCUAUCCUUCCACUUACUGGAACAAGUACCAGUACCUUGUUCUGGUACUACACGAUGCUCUAGGCUCAUCUUGUAUUUUCCCUGCCCCAGCCCCAGAAUCAGCAAUGUCUGCAAGGAGCCCUGGUUUCUUUCACUAGAGAAUGGUAUUAGAAACCCGGAUCUGGGUACUGGGUGUGUUCAUUGUUACUGCGGUGUCACUGCUUUAGGCCCUCUCACAGCAGGCAGAGCUAGGACAUAUGUAUAUGCAUAACCCAUGUAUACACACACACCUAUAAUUAUUUCUGCUUCUAUCCAUCUGAAUCUAUAUUAAGCUAACUAUGAAUUCUUAUUGACAUCUUGGACAAAUCCAUUACUACCUGGCUCAUUUUAGCCUUUUCUACUAAUCUGUAACUUCCCUCUCCAACAAUAAGAAACUUGGCUCCCUCCAUCAAUUGGUUUAAUAUUAAGGACUAACUUUCUACCUUUUUCUCUACUUCAUCUAAUUUUACAAAUUUAUCAUCUGUAAUUUCCACAUUUCAUUGAAAGGAAUAUAUAACCAGGAGGAGAAAUAACAAAAAUAUGAAAUACCUUUCAAGUUCUCCAAGUUCUUAUCACAACAGUGAAGAAGUGAACAUUUAAAUCUAGUCACCAUUGAGACCACUGGACCCUUCUGAUUACAGGCUCUCAGGAAAGUAAACAUCAUCAAAAGAGGAUAACUAUACUUUGCCUUUUCUUUUUGCCACAAUAUCCUGUUGCAGCAGUUGUUUAGAAUAACUAUCCAAUUUAUCAUCUUCCCCAAGAAGUUUGAGUUAUCAAGGCUGGAAGAAUUUAUGUUAAAGAGAAAGAAUUUCUUUGUAAGAAAUUCUUCCGUUUUUACAAUUAUUAGGGUAAUGGGUUUCUUGACAGUGGCAUUGCAAUGAAGCCCAGAAUUAUAUUUGAUUAAUUCAAGUCAUCUUAAAUCUGUAGAUGUUUAAAAAAAAAAACUUAAAAAAAAUCUAUGGAAAUUCCAGAUCUGGUUAUAACCUUCUGUCUUUGAAAAGUUGUCAUAUUUGGAAUAUUAUCACCUUCAGUGUAUGAACGAUAGAAGUAUUAUUGCCAUAAUAUCAUUAUUAAUUAAAAUAUCGUUACUUCUAAGGCUCAGUGGACUCUGGUCAGCAUUGAUAUACCAUGGGUGCCUGGCUGGCAAUAAACAAGACAUCAUAUUCAGAAA